UAGAGAGAUAGGAAUUGAACCUAUAACUAAGAGAUCAAAACUCUCC
rnacentral:tRNA from 3 species